AUACGUAGGGGGCGAGCGUUGUCCGGAAUGAUUGGGCGUAAAGGGCGCGUAGGCGGCGCGGUAAGUCUGGAGUGAAAGUCCUGCUUUCAAGGUGGGAAUUGCUUUGGAUACUGCCGCGCUUGAGUGCAGGAGAGGUUAUCGGAAUUCCCGGUGUAGCGGUGAAAUGCGUAGAGAUCGGGAGGAACACCAGUGGCGAAGGCGGGUAACUGGACUGCAACUGACGCUGAGGCGCGAAAGUGUGGGGAGCAAACAGGAUUAGAUACCCUGGUAGUCCACACUGUAAACGAUGAAUGCUAGGCGUAAGAGGUAUCGACCCCUUUUGUGCCGGAGUCAACACAAUAAGCAUUCCGCCUGGGGAGUACGGCCGCAAGGUUGAAACUCAAAGGAAUUGACGGGG
rnacentral:rRNA from 1 species